rnacentral:rRNA from 1 species
UCGUAACAAGGUUUCCGAGGUGAACCUGCGGAAGGAUCAU